AUUGAACGCUGGCGGCAGGCCUAACACAUGCAAGUCGAGCGGAUGAAGGGAGCUUGCUCCUGGAUUCAGCGGCGGACGGGUGAGUAAUGCCUAGGAAUCUGCCUGGUAGUGGGGGAUAACGUCCGGAAACGGGCGCUAAUACCGCAUACGUCCUGAGGGAGAAAGUGGGGGAUCUUCGGAUCUCACGCUAUCAGAUGAGCCUAGGUCGGAUUAGCUAGUUGGUGGGGUAAAGGCCUACCAAGGCGACGAUCCGUAACUGGUCUGAGAGGAUGAUCAGUCACACUGGAACUGAGACACGGUCCAGUCUCCUACGGGAGGCAGCAGUGGGGAAUAUUGGACAAUGGGCGAAAGCCUGAUCCAGCCAUGCCGCGUGUGCGAAGAAGGUCUUCGGAUUGUAAAGCACUUUAAGUUGGGAGGAAGGGCAGUAAGUUAAUACCUUGCUGUUUUGACGUUACCAACAGAAUAAGCACCGGCUAACUUCGUG
rnacentral:rRNA from 1 species